rnacentral:rRNA from 1 species
GGAAUCCUCCACAAUGGACGAAAGUCUGAUGGAGCAACGCCGCGUGAGUGAAGAAGGGUUUCGGCUCGUAAAACUCUGUUGUUAAAGAAGAACAUAUCUGAGAGUAACUGUUCAUGUAUUGACGGUAUUUAACCAGAAAGCCACGGCUAACUACGUACCAG